AAAGCAAUGAUCUGUGUGUGUGACAGUCCUGACACAUCAAGAUGGUCCCUCUGCCAUGUCUGCUCUGUGUCCUUUAUCUUUAUACAAAAGCCUCCUAUGGAGAGAUUGUGAUGACGCAGACUCCAAAAUAUAUCUCAGUGUCUCCAGGAGAGAAUCCUCAGAUAAACUGUAAAUCAAGUUCUGAUGUUACUUACUCAGAUGGUGACAGUCUAAUAUAUUGGUUCCAAAAGAAAGCCGAUCAGCCUCCAAAACGUCUUUUCUAUCGGGCAACCAAACGCUCGUCUGGAGUCCCGGAGAGGUUCAGUGGCAGUAGAUCCGGAUCUCCGUAUGAUUAUUUUACUCUUACAAUCAGUGGAGCUCAACUGGAAGACGAAGCCGAGUAUUACUGUAUGCAGGGCAAGAGCUUCCCUUUCACACAGUGA